AGGUGCCUAAAACUUUAAUCCAUGAAAAUGAUGGUUUUCAGAAAGAAGUGAGUCCUCAUCAGCAACACUUGGUUGAUGGCUUCCGUGCUGAUGCUUUUAUACCAUCUGGUGAUACGCCUGCGAAUGUCAUUGCCUCAGAAGAUGGUUCAUUUGUUCAGCAAGUACAGUCCAAUGCUUCUGGUGGAGUUCCAGAACAAUCAGCAGACCCAUCUCAAGUUUUAAAUGUGUCAUUAAGGACUGAUUCAUCAUCUGAUAAAGGAUCAAUAAUUUCUGCUAGUGCUGAUAAGAUUUCUGGUAGUGAACCUUUGCCAUAUAUGUUACCAUCAACUCAGAUACAGUUAGCUACUAGUUCUGUUGAUCCAUGUGUCACAUCUGAGCAGCCUUCAGUGCAUGCUCAGGUUUCUAAAGAGUUACCCCCACAUAGUGGUUCCUCAGUGGAAUUUCCACUUCCUACCUACCAGUUGCCUGCCUCUGCCGUUUCCCAUUCUCAGAGUGAAAAUGCUGUGCAUAUGCCACAAAAUUCAAGGCAACAUGGUGCGGUGCAACAAAAUUCAUUCUUUCCUUUCCAAUCCACAAUUAGAGGAAAGUUUGAACCUUACCCAGCUCCGUUCCACACACCAAACUCUCACUUCAGUGUACCGCCAAAUAGCUGUAGGAGGAGGAGGAGGAGUCCUCGGAGGCGAAACGAUAAAAGAAGCCGAAGCCGGUCUCGCAGGUAUGUAUUGCUGUUACUCUCUGUAGGAUGCCCUGAUUACCUGCUAUUAACUUUAAUUUGAACCUCCCUAUGUUGGUGAGGAUCAAUUGUCUUUCUUUACAUUUCUCGACUUGUAUUUUGAUCACUUCAAUUAUCUCUCUGAAGAAUAUUAUAUUUAGAAUUUUUGUUGGUUUCAGCCGGUCUCCUCGGCGCCGUGGAAGCAGGAGUAGGUCCCCGAUCUUAAGACGUUCAGGUGACUUUCGUGGUGAGAAUGUGAGAAGGGAAAAGGGCCAGUGCUUUAAUUUCCUUCGUGGAAAGUGCUAUCGAGGAGCAUCUUGUAGGUACAGUCAUCAUGAACCUGAGAAGAAUGCAACUUCUAGGCGUAAUAGAAAUAAACAUGAUCUCGAAGUUUAUUCUCAUGAAAAAGUUUCUAGGAAGAAUGAAGGCAUGAAGGAUAUUUCUUCUAAAAUGUCAGAUUAUGAGCAUGAUGAAGUCAGAAGUCAGGGUGUAGAUCUUUGCCAGAAUGUAAAUGGCCAAGAAGCAGUGCAGAGAAAAGAAGAUUCUGGGAUGCAUACUGUUGUGUCUACUAACUUUGGUCUUGAUGGUCAAUCUGUUGAUAGCAAUCCAAAUAAAUCUGAAGGUCUCAGAGAAGUUGCUCCAGAAGUGCAGGAAACUUUAGUAGUCAGAGAGGUGCCUAAAACUUUAAUCCAUGAAAAUGAUGGUUUUCAGAAAGAAGUGAGUCCUCAUCAGCAACACUUGGUUGAUGGCUUCCGUGCUGAUGCUUUUAUACCAUCUGGUGAUACACCUGCGAAUGUCAUUGCCUCAGAAGAUGGUUCAUUUGUUCAGCAAGUACAGUCCAAUGCUUCUGGUGGAGUUCCAGAACAAUCAGCAGACCCAUCUCAAGUUUUAAAUGUGUCAUUAAGGACUGAUUCAUCAUCUGAUAAAGGAUCAAUAAUUUCUGCUAGUGCUGAUAAGAUUUCUGGUAGUGAACCUUUGCCAUAUAUGUUACCAUCAACUCAGAUACAGUUAGCUACUAGUUCUGUUGAUCCAUGUGUCACAUCUGAGCAGCCUUCAGUGCAUGCUCAGGUUUCUAAAGAGUUACCCCCACAUAGUGGUUCCUCAGUGGAAUUUCCACUUCCUACCUACCAGUUGCCUGCCUCUGCCGUUUCCCAUUCUCAGAGUGAAAAUGCUGUGCAUAUGCCACAAAAUUCAAGGCAACAUGGUGCGGUGCAACAAAAUUCAUUCUUUCCUUUCCAAUCCACAAUUAGAGGAAAGUUUGAACCUUACCCAGCUCCGUUCCACACACCAAACUCUCACUUCAGUGUACCGCCAAAUAGCUGUUGGACAUCCUUGCCGCUGCCGCCACCACCACCACCACCAUCAUCAGUGUAUAAUUCCAGUUUAAACUCGGAAGUUGCUAAACCAUUUGUU
rnacentral:lncRNA from 1 species